rnacentral:tRNA from 1 species
AGGGCGUUAGCAUAAUGGUUAGUGCACCUGGCUUUGACCCAAGUUAUGUAGUUUCGAUUACUACACGCCCUGCCA